rnacentral:rRNA from 1 species
AACGAACGCUGGCGGCAGGCCUAACACAUGCAAGUCGAGCGAGGACUUCGGUCCUAGCGGCGGACGGGUGGGUAACGCGUGGGAACGUGCCCUUUGCUUCGGAAUAGCCCUGGGAAACUGGGAGUAAUACCGGAUGAGCCCUUUGGGGGAAAGAUUUAUCGGCGAAGGAUCGGCCCGCGUUGGAUUAGGUAGUUGGUGGGGUAAUGGCCUACCAAGCCGACGAUCCAUAGCUGGUUUGAGAGGAUGAUCAGCCACACUGGGACUGAGACACGGCCCAGACUCCUACGGGAGGCAGCAGUGGGGAAUCUUAGACAAUGGGGGAAACCCUGAUCUAGCCAUGCCGCGUGAGCGAUGAAGGCCUUAGGGUUGUAAAGCUCUUUCAGCUGGGAAGAUAAUGACGGUACCAGCAGAAGAAGCCCCGGCUAACUCCGUG